rnacentral:rRNA from 1 species
UACGUAGGGGGCAAGCGUUGUCCGGAAUCAUUGGGCGUAAAGAGCGUGUAGGCGGCUUCGUCAGUCCGUUGUGAAAGUCCAGGGCUCAACCCUGGAAUGCCGAUGGAUACUGCGGAGCUAGAGUCCGGAAGAGGCGAGUGGAAUUCCUGGUGUAGCGGUGAAAUGCGCAGAUAUCAGGAGGAACACCUAUGGCGAAGGCAGCUCGCUGGGACGGCACUGACGCUGAGGCGCGAAAGCUAGGGGAGCGAACAGG